GCCCCGGGGCUCAGGGGCAGCCCAGGACUCUCCCUCGCCCGGCUCACGGCCCUGCCUGGGGGGCGCCUCCGGGAGCAGAUCACGAGCCCUGGGGCUCAGCCCUCAGGCGCGUCUAGCUCGGCGGUCACCCCAGUGCCGGGAGGACCCUGAAGACGCGCCCCAGGCGGCCCUACUCAGAGCCUCCUCCCAAGGCCCAGGAAUGCGGCGCUGUCGGAGGUGUGCGCGGUGGCCACACCGCUGUCCGGGUCCCCAAAGCGGGCCCCGCUCCCACUUCUCGCCUUGGCCCCGAACCCUGGGUCCAGCCCCAGCGCUUUGUGUGCGAACACCGCUCCGCCCCGGACCCAGCUCCGCCUUGGGGCCCCUCUCUGCCUGCCCCUCCGUGCCCGACUACACUGCUUCCCCUCCGGCGGGCGACUCAGCCCGGUCCAUCGUGGCGGCUUCCAGGGCGGCAGGCUCCGGGAGUACUCCCGGGGCCGGCUCCAAGGACUGUUCCCCUCCUCCCCACUCCCACUCCGCGGCGGCGGCGGGCGAGAGCGGCGACAUAGGGCCAGGGUCCGGAGCGGUGGAGGCUCCUGGCCGGGGAGCACGUCGCCCCACCCGGCAACGCGAGGAUGGUGGCGGCGCAGUCGGCUGCUUUGGGGUCUCAAGGCACAGGGGACGCGAGGCACAGAUGUCCCACAGCAGCCACUGCGGCUCCCGCAGCUGCUCCGCCGCCGCUGCCCGCCCCUCCCUGCUGCAGCUGGCGUGAUGGCAGCGGCAGCUCUGGACGCCCCACUGCUGCCACCAUCAGCCUUGUGAAAUAGGCUUGAAAGAUCUAGCCACGUGAGCAGGACAGAAGUGCACAACAACCAUAUCUUGAUUUCUGUGGACCAGGUGGGGCCCCUGCCAGCCUUGCUAGACAGACCCAGGUGAACAGUCCUUCUAGGGGAUCUCAUCACCAGGCAAGCACGUGGUACGAGAAGAGCAGUCAUUAGGAAGGCCAUUUGGAAAAGCACAUCCUCUCUGUUCACGUGAGAUAUUUUACAUCCUCAUUCCUCAUCGCAAGCUUCCUGGGAUUUGGAGUGUCACAGACAAGAGGGUUGGGGGAGGCCAGUAGGUAUGGAUUUGUUUAUAUUAAAAUGAGCAUAUGAAUAUUUAUAUGUUUAUAUUAAAACAUAUAUGUUUGUUUAUAUUACAAUGAGCAUAUGAAUAUUUAUAUGUUUAUAUUAAAACAUAUAUGUUUGUUUAUAUUAAAAUGAGCAUAUGAAUAUUUCUGUAUACUUCAGAUAAACAUUCUUUUCCAUAAAUAAGCUUCAUCAUCCAGAAGCCAUGUUGAAAGUUGGUAAUCAAGGAUAGGAAGUGUUUCCAAGGGUUGUCAGUGAUUAAAUCAACCUUACCUUAGCAUACAUGUAUGAGAGAAGUUAGAUAAAUUAUACAUAGAGAGAUAGCUAGAUAGAUAAUAGAUAAAUAAGGUAGAUGACAGAUUAGAUACAGAUGAUAAACAGAUAUGCUAUCAGUCUAGAUCUAUUACUCACAGUCAGUCGUAUCACAGUGUAAUUCCAUCAACUUCAUUUGCAGCAAAAGAACAGCCCCUGAUGUACGCCUGUUUCCUGAAUAUUUGGAAAUAUUAAUAUUAAUAUAGAUAGAGUCAGCUUGCCAGUAUAAAGAAUCUAUCUCUCACUAUAGGCAGAGCCAUGUGUUGGAUAUUAUGGAGGAAUAUGUAUUAUUUUAAUCGUUUAAAAGACUAAUAAACUUCUAAUCUACUUUUGGGAGCCUCUGCUCAAGUUCCUGAGGUUCCUACUCUAAAAUCCACAUCACCCUCCAACUGCUCCCUAUGUGAGCCAUUAGGGAGCACAAUGAAUUAGAGAAUGAAUCCUAUUAGCCCACUAAAAAAUUAUCUUUCAAAGGAUGAAGACUGAUGCUAAGGAAAAAGAGAUGAGGCCUCCCUGGUUCCGCAUUAUUACUCCUUCCUUUCUUGGGUUACGGAUUGAACACUGACCUUUUCUUUCACUCUUCUGCAAGACAACCCCAUAAGAAAGCUGAAACCUGCUUUUGUGAAAGCCUAUGAUUACUAUAAGACAGGGCACAGAGCAAGAAAAUGUUUGAGGCUUGUGUCUAUAAACAAGACUUGGCUGGAAUCCCCAGACCCACGACUUUUUAAAAGGAUAUUUUGUCCCUGCAAUACAGAUACUGAAUGAGGUUGGCAAAUAAAUAUGUAUUUCUAGAGACUCUAU
rnacentral:lncRNA from 1 species